rnacentral:lncRNA from 1 species
GUGUCUUUUCAGGUUGCUACGAAAGCUAUAUUCUGUACAAUGUAAACGUAGCCUGAAAUAGACAGGGGAAUUGAUUCUCUUGGAAUAUAAAUAUAUCUAAAAUAGAAUAAAUCUCACACAUUUAGUACCAACAUUGUCAUUUAUUGAUUUCCUUUUAUCAAGUUUCCUCGACGGUAGCUAGGUGAAUGAAUGUCUUUUAACAACACAACUUCUCCAGUAACUGCUUUAGUUAUUUCUUAUUUUCAAACACAAAUAUGUUGUUGUUGACUAAACCUCUACCAACAACUGUUUUUAUUUACACUUAUUAAGUUUCAUGUUUCAAAUGUGUUGUUGAGCUAAGGUAUGCACUGCAUGAAGUCUAACAGUAUUACAAUAUUCAAAACAUGUCCAUAAGUUCGAUCACAACGAAGGUUUCUUUUGCGAGUGUUCUCGUGUUCUGCUUCUUCAUUCUUCUGUAGCAUGGUUUUAAAUCUCAUGGCGUGUUAACUCUCAGGCUUGCAAAUUUCAUCCAGAAGGCCAAGCAUCCCCAAAUUUCGCCGAUUGUGUAAUACUUUUACUUCAUGUAUGUCCAUCACGAGAGACACGAUGUUUCGCUGCAGUUUGAAAGUUGUUUUGGAAGAGAUAAACACAACUCAACUGUCACAUGAUGGCAAUGUCACGGAAAGGAAGUCGUGUCUUGGAAAGACAAUUCCACGGGAGAAAGGAAGAUAACAAAUGACUGACAUAUAACUGGGGAAAUAUCAACCUCAAAUGAACAAAUUUGACAUUGGUUUACUUGAACAAAUGCAUGUGAUGAGCAUUUCUGAUUCGUUCUUUAGAAAAUCUAUUCUUUAAAGCCUUGUCCUCACUGCGACGCAGACAAAUUAAAGCAUAAGAGUUAAGUAUUAAACGUAUCGACUUCUUAUGCGUUCUUUUCGCUUCUGUUGUUGUUUAUGCUUGCGCUUUAUGUUGCGUUGUAGUGAGGAUACAGUGAAAACACAAUCAUAAGAACAUCAAAGCGUUCUGCUUGUUUAUUAUCAUUGCGGUCAUGCUUGCGUUGUAGUGAGGACAAGACUGCAGUUUUAUUGUUUCAUUGUUAUAAUCAAUCAAUCAAAGAACUUGUUCAUAUAGGUUGGAAACGACCACAUAUAACACAACAAAUAUUUGACAAGACAUUGUGACAUGCAAUAGAACAAACAUUUGAAGAAUAGAACAACAAAUUCUGACAAAUAAAAAAAUAGAUGAAAUUCUGAUAUAAUAGGGCAAUAUUUUGAUAGAAAUUCGGACAUAUACCCUGUAAAUUUCACAAAUUAAUAUAUACCGGUUAGAGUUAUUUUGAACCAAUUUUAAUUCCAAAUGUGGAGAAAUAUUUGGUUCAAAUUAACUUCCUGGGGCCGGUUGUAUAAAAAAGUGAUCAUAGUUAAGUGGAAAUGUCAUCCAAUAAGAAGCGCAUAUAUGAGAGUUAAUCACUAUUUAACUACAAAAUAGUGAUAAAAAAAUGAUUAAGAAUUUUAUACAAUCGGCGCGUGAAAUGAACAGUAUAACACAAGUGAAAUGUGUUAGGAAAUUCUGAAAUAAUUUUGAAUGAGGACAAAACGAAAGGUAGGCCUACAUAUUUUAUACUACUUAAUUUUGAUCAAUUAACACAUUUUACAAACAAGUUUUACAUACACAAUAAACAAUAAUAAACACAAAUAUUAAAAAUAUUAGACUUGUAAAGAUGACAGGAAGGAGCUUUCUUUUUUUCUCAUAUAGUUUAAUUCACGAAUGCGCGGAAACAUAUAUAACAUUGCUGUUUUCAACAUUUUUAUUGAGUGGAACCACUACCAACAGUAUAAAUUAAUAAUUCAAUCAAGGUGACAAUCAGAACUGAUUUGUGCGUAAGGCAAUGGCUAAAAGCUCUACACAGACGUAACUUGCUUUCGCAGAGAGUAUUUGCACAAAAUAUUAUGAAAAUACGGGAAAUGAUGUUUCCUGUGAGUCAUCAGUGACAAAUUAUUAAUGCGCACCGAAUUAAAUCAUAUACCAAAAUAUUAAUAUACAAUUACUUUAUGGUUUCCGUGUUUGGAUGGGCUGAUCCAAACACGCGGGAAUGUUGCGAGAGUGAAGAAAAGCGCGCGAAACACGAGCCGAAGGCGAGUAUAUAAUAUAACAAAUUUUAUAAUAUAACAAACUUUCCGUGUUAAAAUUUCACUUUAAAAAACUUUCACUUUAAAUUUCCGUGUUUGGAUGGCCUGAUCCAAACACAGGUUUCGACCAAUCAGAGCACGCGUUAUAUUCAUGUUAUUUUAUAAAUCCAGUUCGAUCAUGUUUAGAGACAGAGAGUACAUAGAAAAUGUUCUUAUUUAUAUUCCCAUGAAGGUGACCACCGCCUCUUAUCAGCUGAUUUUCAAUUGAACAUUUUCUCAAAGUUUUUUUUGUUAUUUUGAGCACCUAAACUAUUGUACAUUAAGACUGCAUAUGGCUGAUUUUCUCAGACGAAAUUUUCUCUUAGCGAAAAAAGCUCUCAAAGUUACCUUGUCCGAAAAUUUACCCAAUAGCAAUGCCCUGGAAAAGCAUUUUUUUAUUACUUAGAUAAAUUACGAAAAUAUUUUGGGUGAUUUAUCCCCGAGCAAGCGCCGUUCUGGGCGUAAGCCGUGGGCGAGGCUACUAAUUCCACCCGGCUAUUCACACCCGAGGAAAGGAACGCACUAGCGAAGUCUAAAGUUCAUCAAAUAUCGCGGGCGCAUGGUGUAUUGGUAUUCAUCUCACUGAUCUCAAAAUUUGGCUGUUUGCCAGGAGUGAAGGAGGCGAAAUUUUUUUAAAAAAAACAUGUAAAAAAGCUUGGAAAAUCGUUUCACAUAACAAAUUGUAAAACUUUUUUUAAAUAUUUAGACGAUUUGGUAUCAGAAAUCCUAAAGUAUAUGGCAAGUUUAUUUCUAUUGUUCAUGUAUGACCUUGUAUUAUUAUAGAUUUUGUUUUUGUUGCUCAAGUCUUUCCGAUUCAUUGUAUGCGAAAGUUUUUAGUUAAAUUAACUUUUGUAGAAGUUCAUGAUAAAAAGGAAAGCAAACUAUUUUCAUUAGCGUCCGGUAUGAAUUAAAUUUAUUUAAUUUCAAAGUGCGAGUAAUAAGUUGAAGCUUGAGUUGAAGAGUUUAUCGCCAAAAAAGCAGUUAAUUUCAAUUCACAUUUAAAAAGGUUCUACGAAGAGAGUUUCGUGCUGCAUUUUACAUUAAAAUGGAGCCCACAGAAAGCAAAAUAAUAUACCUACUUGAUAUAUUUUAGAAAUAGAUAGUUCUGUACUUAAAAGUGUUCAAGUUUCAUUUAUUUUUUGCAGUUUUGUACUUU